rnacentral:tRNA from 1 species
UUCCGGGUGGCUUAGAUGGUAAAGUGUCUGCCUAUAAUGCGGGAGACCUGGGUUCAAUCCCUGCGUCGGGAA